UACGUAGGUGGCAAGCGUUGUCCGGAAUUAUUGGGCGUAAAGCGCGCGCAGGCGGUCCUUUAAGUCUGAUGUGAAAGCCCACGGCUCAACCGUGGAGGGUCAUUGGAAACUGGGGGACUUGAGUGCAGGAGAGAAGAGUGGAAUUCCACGUGUAGCGGUGAAAUGCGUAGAGAUGUGGAGGAACACCAGUGGCGAAGGCGGCUCACUGGUCUGGUACUGACGCUGAGGUGCGAAAGCGUGGGGAGCAAACAGG
rnacentral:rRNA from 1 species